rnacentral:rRNA from 1 species
GAUGAACGCUGGCGGCGUGCUUAACACAUGCAAGUCGAACGGUGAAGGCGGAGCUUGCUCUGCUGGAUCAGUGGCGAACGGGUGAGUAACACGUGAGCAAUCUGCCCCUGACUCUGGGAUAAGCGCUGGAAACGGCGUCUAAUACUGGAUACGAGCUGCGAAGGCAUCUUCAGCAGCUGGAAAGAACUUCGGUCAGGGAUGAGCUCGCGGCCUAUCAGCUUGUUGGUGAGGUAACGGCUCACCAAGGCGUCGACGGGUAGCCGGCCUGAGAGGGUGACCGGCCACACUGGGACUGAGACACGGCCCAGACUCCUACGGGAGGCAGCAGUGGGGAAUAUUGCACAAUGGGCGAAAGCCUGAUGCAGCAACGCCGCGUGAGGGACGACGGCCUUCGGGUUGUAAACCUCUUUUAGCAGGGAAGAAGCGAAAGUGACGGUACCUGCAGAAGAAGCACCGGCUAACUACGUG